rnacentral:tRNA from 1 species
UCCCUGGUGGUCGAAUGGUUAAGAAUCUGCCUGGCAAUGCAGAGGACAUGGGUUCGAUCCCUGGUCAGGGAA